rnacentral:rRNA from 1 species
UAAGCCAUGCAUGUCUAAGUACAAACUAUAUUAAAGUGAAACCGCGAAAGGCUCAUUAAAUCAGUUAUGGUUCCUUAGAUCGUACCACAAUUACUUGGAUAACUGUGGUAAUUCUAGAGCUAAUACAUGCAAACAGAGCUCUGACCGGAGACGGAAGGAGUGCUUUUAUUAGAUCAAAACCAAUCGGCGGCGGUAACGUUUCGGCGUUAUCGUUCGUCGCACAAUAAAUGGUGAAUCUGAAUAACUUUAUGCUGAUCGCAUGGUCUUGUACCGGCGACGUAUCUUUCAAAUGUCUGCCUUAUCAACUGUCGAUGGUAGGAUCUGUGCCUACCAUGGUUGUAACGGGUAACGGGGAAUCAGGGUUCGAUUCCGGAGAGGGAGCCUGAGAAACGGCUACCACAUCCAAGGAAGGCAGCAGGCGCGCAAAUUACCCAUUCCCGGCACGGGGAGGUAGUGACGAAAAAUAACGAUACGGGACUCAUCCGAGGCCCCGUAAUCGGAAUGAGUACACUUUAAAUCCUUUAACGAGGACCAAUUGGAGGGCAAGUCUGGUGCCAGCAGCCGCGGUAAUUCCAGCUCCAAUAGCGUAUAUUAAAGUUGUUGCGGUUAAAAAGCUCGUAGUUGAAUUUGUGUUCCGCACUGUCGGUUCACCGCCCGCCGGUGCAAACUGACAUGUUUGCGGAACGUCCUGCCGGUGGAUGUUCAGUAUAUUAUAUAUUACUGCACGCUUUUUCACAAAAGUGUAACGUAUGUAUUAUAUACACAUCCGACUUUAUAAAUCCUGUCGCGGUGCUCUUAACUGAGUGUCGAGGCGGGCCGGCACGUUUACUUUGAACAAAUUAAAGUGCUCAAAGCAGGCUUAUUAAUGCCUGAAUAAUUAGUGCAUGGAAAUAAUGAAACAGGACCUUGGUUCUAUUUUGUUGGUUUUUGGAACCCCAAGGUAAUGAUUAAUAGGGACAGAUGGGGGCAUUCGUAUUGCGACGUUAGAGGUGAAAUUCUUGG